AUUCGAUGAUACGCGAGGAACCUUACCCGGGCUCGAACGGCAGAGGAACAAUCCAGAGAUGGUGCGGCCCUUCGGGGCUUCUGUCGAGGUGCUGCAUGGUUGUCGUCAGCUCGUGCCGUGAGGUGUCGGCUCAAGUGCCAUAACGAGCGCAACCCUUGCCGUCAGUUACCAUCAAGUAGCGUUGGGGACUCUGGCGGGACUGCCACCGCAAGGUGUGAGGAAGGGGGGGAUGACGUCAAAUCAGCACGGCCCUUACGUCCGGGGCGACACACGUGUUACAAUGGCGGCCACAGAGGGGCACUACCUGGCGACAGGAUGGGAAUCUCGAAAAGCCGUCUCAGUCCGGAUCGGAGUCUGCAACCCGACUCCGUGAAGCUGGAUUCGCUAGUAAUCGCGCAUCAGCCAUGGCGCGGUGAAUACGUUCCCGGGCCUUGUACACACCGCCCGUCAAGCCAUGGGAGCCGUGGGCGCCUGAAGUCGGGGUUCAAGCCCUGCCUAGGGCGAAUUCGGUGACUGGGGCU
rnacentral:rRNA from 1 species